rnacentral:rRNA from 1 species
CCUACGGGAGGCAGCAGUGGGGAAUAUUGCACAAUGGGGGAAACCCUGAUGCAGCGACGCCGCGUGAGUGAAGAAGUAUCUCGGUACGUAAAGCUCUAUCAGCAGGGAAGAAAAUGACGGUACCUGACUAAGAAGCCCCGGCUAACUACGUGCCAGCAGCCGCGGUAAUACGUAGGGGGCGAGCGUUAUCCGGAUUCACUGGGUGGAAAGGGAGCGUAGACGGCCGUGCAAGCCAGGAGUGAAAGCCCGGGGCUCAACCCCGGGACUGCUCUUGGAACUGUGCGGCUGGAGUGCGGGAGGGGCAGGCGGAAUUCCUGGUGUAGCGGUGAAAUGCGUAGAUAUCUGGAGGAACACCGGCGGCGAAGGCGGCCUGCUGGACCGCGACUGACGUUGAGGCUCGAAAGCGUGGGGAGCGAACAGGAUUAGAUACCCUGGUAGUC